rnacentral:rRNA from 1 species
AGUGAACGCUGGCGGUAGGCCUAACACAUGCAAGUCGAACGGCAGCACAGUAAGAGCUUGCUCUUACGGGUGGCGAGUGGCGGAUGGGUGGGGUAUACAUUGGAAUCUACUUUUUCGUGGGGGCUAACGUAGGGAAACUUACGCUAAUACCGCAUCCGACCUACGGGUUAAAGCAGUCGAACUUCGGACCUUGCGCGAUUGAAUUAGCCGAUGUCGGAUUAGUUAGUUGGCGGGGUAACGGCACACCAAGGCAACGAUCCGUAGCUGGUCUGAGAGGAUGAUAAGCCACACUGGACCUGAGACACGGUCCAGACUCCUACGGUAGGCAGCGGUGCGGAAUAUUGGACAAUGGGCUGAAGCCUGAUCCAACCCUACCGCGUGGGUGAAGAAGGCCUUCGGGUUGUAAAGCCCUUUUGUUGGGAAAGAAAAGCAGCAGGUUAAUACCCCGCUGUUCUGACGGUACCCAAAGAAUAAGCACCGGCUAACUUCGUG